UGGUUCUGGCAUCGAUGAAGAACGCAGCGAAAUGCGAUAAGUAAUGUGAAUUGCAGAAUUCAGUGAAUCAUCGAAUCUUUGAACGCACAUUGCGCCCAUUAGUAUUCUAGUGGGCAUGCCUGUUCGAGCGUCAUUACGACCCUUAAGCCCUAGUUGCUUAGUGUUGGGGGCUCGCCGUAAGAGGCGACCCCUUAAAGAUAUUGGCGGAGUCGAGUUGAACUCUGAGCGUAGUAAAUCUUUUCUCGCUUUUUGAAGUCAUCACGGCGACGGCCACUAAACAACCAAUUUUCUAGUGGUUGACCUCGGAUCAGGUAGGAAUACCCGCUGA
rnacentral:misc_RNA from 1 species